rnacentral:rRNA from 1 species
UACGUAGGGUGCAAGCGUUGUCCGGAAUUAUUGGGCGUAAAGAGCUCGUAGGCGGUUUGUCGCGUCUGCUGUGAAAACUCGGGCUUAACCCGGCCUGCAGUGGGUACGGGCAGACUAGAGUGCGGUAGGGGAGACUGGAAUUCCUGGUGUAGCGGUGAAAUGCGCAGAUAUCAGGAGGAACACCAAUUGCGAAGGCAGCUCUCUGGGUCCCUACCGACGCUGGGUGCGAAAGCAUGGGAGCGAACGAGGA